AAGUUCUUCAAAGCUAAAUAAUUUGGCGGUAUUUUACACUUUUCAGAGGAACCUGUUCUAUAAUCCAUAAUCCACGAUCGAAUUAACUUUAAUUAGAAAUUUUUAUAUCGUCGUUGUUAAAUAUUUUAACAGAAUUUCAUAUUUAAAAUUUUUAUUAAAAAAUAAAUCAGAUCA
rnacentral:rRNA from 1 species